rnacentral:rRNA from 1 species
AAUGUUGGACAAUGGGGGAAACCGUGAUCCAGCCAUCCCGCGUGUAAGAUGAAGGCCUCCGGGUUGUAAAGUACUUUUGGCCGAGAAGAAAAGCUAUCCCCUAAUACGGGAUACUGCGGUCGGUAUCUGCCGCAGAAGCACCGGCUAACUACGUGCCAGCAGCCGCGGUAAUACGUAGGGGGCAAGCGUUAAUCGGAAUUACUGGGCGUAAAGCGUGUGUAGGCGGUUCGGAAAGAAAGAUGUGAAAUCCCAGGGCUCAACCUUGGAACUGCAUUUUUAACUGCCGAGCUAGAGUAUGUCAGAGGGGGGUAGAAUUCCACGUGUAGCAGUGAAAUGCGUAGAUAUGUGGAGGAAUACCGAUGGCGAAGGCAGCCCCCUGGGAUAAUACUGACGCUCAGACACGAAAGCGUGGGGAGCAAACAGG